UGAGGACUCAGGCCCCUUGCUUGGAUCAUGCUGCCCCAUCGGGUGCUGCCCCUGCCCUCUUCCUCUGAGUUCUAACAACACAGACACCAGCGCCUGAAAGCCCUGCCGCUGCCAGGGAGUUAGAAUUCUGGCUGCCUCUACUUGGGAAUCUCCUUCCAUGUGUGGAUCUGCAGAACAUCCAGAUGGGGCCAUCCCACCUCAUGAUCCAUUCACUCCCAGUGGGAUACACUGGAACUCAACCUUGGAGACUGGAGCCCAACAGAUUAAGGCAGAAUUCUCCUUGCUUUGGAGGCAGGUCUGCAGGGAGGGGGUGAAGUCUAGCUGCCCCUCAUGUCCCAUCCCAGUGAGGGUACUGGUUUUCCACAGCUAAGCCCAGGAGCUUCCUAUAUCCCGUCUGCUGAGACAGCAAGGGGUGUGGCCCGGCCAGCCUCCUGACAUGGUUUCCACUGACCUCUGAAAGCCCCUGCAGCUCAGCCUUUAAACCUCCAUUCCCGGAAGGGAAACUACGCGGCAAAGGUGACCGGGGACCGAGCAUUUCAGAUCUGCUUGGUAGACCUGGUGCACCACCACCAUGUUGGCUGCAAGGCUUGUGUGUCUCCGGACACUACCUUCUAGGGUUUUCCACCCAGCUUUCACCAAGGCCUCCCCUGUUGUGAAGAAUUCCAUCAUGAAGAAUCAACGGCUGUUAACACCCAGCAGGGAAUAUGCCACCAAAACAAGAAUUGGGAUCCGGCGUGGGAGAACUGGUCAAGAACUCAAAGAGGCAGCAUUUGAACCAUUGAUGGAAAAAAUAUUUAAAAUUGAUCAGAUGGGAAGAUGGUUUGUUGCUGGAGGGGCUGCUGUUGGUCUUGGAGCAUUGUGCUACUAUGGGUUGGGACUGUCUAAUGAGAUUGGAGCUAUUGAAAAGGCUGUAAUUUGGCCUCAGUAUGUGAAGGACAGAAUUCAUUCCACCUGUAUGUACUUAGCAGGGAGUAUUGGUUUAACAGCUUUGUCUGCCAUAGCAAUAAGCAGAUCGCCUGUUCUCAUGAACUUCAUGAUGAGAGGCUCUUUGGUGACAAUUGGUAUGACCUUUGCAGCCAUGGUUGGAGCUGGAAUGCUGGUACAAUCAAUACCAUAUGACCAGAGCCCAGGCCCAAAGCAUCUUGCCUGGUUGCUACAUUCUGGUGUGAUGGGUGUAGUGGUGGCUCUUCUGACAAUAUUAGUGGGUCCUCUUCUCAUCAGAGCUGCAUGGUACACAGCUGGCAUUGUGGGAGGCCUCUCCACUGUGGCCAUGUGUGCGCCCAGUGAAAAGUUUCUGGACAUGGGUGCGCCCCUGGGAGUGGGCCUGGGUUUCGUCUUUGUGUCCUCACUGGGAUCUAUGUUUCUUCCACCUACCACUGUGGCUGGUGCCACUCUUUACUCAGUGGCAAUGUAUGGUGGAUUAGUUCUUUUCAGCAUGUUCCUCUUGUAUGAUACCCAGAAAGUAAUCAAGUGUGCAGAAGUGUCACCAGCAUAUGGAGUUCAAAAAUAUGAUCCCAUUAACUUGAUGCUGAAUAUCUACAUGGAUACAUUAAAUAUAUUUAAACGAGUUGCAACUAUGCUAGCAACUGGAAGCAACAGAAAGAAAUGAAGUGACUCAGCGUCUGGCUUCUCUGCUACAUCAAACAUCUUGCUUGUUUAAUGGGGCAGAUAUGCAUUAAAUAGUUUGUACAAGCAAAAAAAAAAAAACCU